rnacentral:rRNA from 1 species
GACGAACCGUGCGAACGUUGUUCGGAAUCACUGGGCUUAAAGGGCGCGUAGGCGGCUCCGCAAGUCGGGGGUGAAAUGCUUUCGGCUUAACCGGAAAAGUGCCUCUGAUACUGCGGAGCUCGAGGGAGGUAGGGGCGGACAGAACUUCCGGUGGAGCGGUGAAAUGACGUUGAUAUCGGAAGGAACGCCGGUGGCGAAAGCGGUCCGCUGGCCCUCUACUGACGCUGAGGCGACGAAAGCCAGGGGAGCAAACGGG